GCAUGAGCAAGACAGAAAGAAGAAGAGCCGUCAUCUUCUUCUUCCUCCCCUUUAACGUACGUCAUCUUCCUUCGUCAUCCUCUCAAAGUAAUCAAGGAGUUGAUUAAAAAAGAGAAAUUCAGUCAUCAAAGGUGAUCUCUGCAAGGGAGCUAGCACCUCGGUGAGAUCUUGGAGCGAUCUGUACCUUGUGUGGAUACCUAUU
rnacentral:lncRNA from 1 species